AUCUCUUGUUGUACUUGUUUAUUUAUCUCACUUUUUUAAGCUAGGUUGUGUUUCAAAAGUCUAGUAAUAACUAGUGAAGAUCUUCUAAACUUAAUAUACAUACAUACAAACAUCCAUCCGUCCCAAUGCAUUAGGCCCUAUCUAAAAUCAUGUGUGCUUUUGGGACCAAAGGAAAUGUUUGUCCACUGUAGUUCCACGCA
rnacentral:lncRNA from 1 species